CCUGGCGGCCAGAGCGAGCGGGAACCACCCGAUCCCAUCCCGACCUCGGAAGUGAAACCGCUUAGCGCCGAUGAUAGUGCAAGAAUACCUGUGCGAAAGUAGGGAACUGCCAGGC
rnacentral:rRNA from 13 species